UAACUUUUAUAUACAUAGAAAAUCGUACCUGUAAAUUAGUUCUACGCUUUAUUGAUCCAGCUACGGUAAUGGUAUCUUUUGAAGCAGUGGCAAAGCUACGAGCUCUUUGCUGUUUUGCAAAAGUUGUUUUGCAGCCUUUCCAUAGAAGCGGGCGGAAAUUUUGAAUCCGAAACGUGAUAAAGGAUAAAACUCUUCAGAAACUUGAAAACAGGAAAAUAGAAAAGUAAAUUGUCACGACACAAGAAACAAAACAUCCUUUAGUUCGUUAUAUAAGCGCUGGAAGAUACACAGUUUUCACCACUUGCAAGUUGAAGAAAUCAAAUUUACAAGAUGAACAAGACUCUUUUUAUUCUGCUGAUCAUCGGACUCCUGGUUGUCACUGAUGUUACAGCCUGGCGCCGCCGUCGCUGUCGCAGACGCUAUUACGGAGACGCCGAAAAGGUUAUGAAAUCUUUCGAAGAUGAAGUCGCUCAGGAAAACGAUCGUUAUUCCUAUUACGAACGUCAAGAAGACAACUAAAUCGUUGAAUUGAGAAAUUAAUAAACUCAAAUAUUAACGAGCAUAA